CCUACGGGUGGCAGCAGUGGGGGAUAUUGCACAAUGGGGGGAACCCUGAUGCAGCGACGCAGCGUGGGUGAAGAAGCGCCUCGGCGCGUAAAGCCCUGUCAGCAGGGAAGAAAAUGACGGUACCUGAAGAAGAAGCCACGGCUAACUACGUGCCAGCAGCCGCGGUUACACGUAGGGGGCAAGCGUGAUCCGGAUUUACUGGGGGUAAAGGGGGCGCAGACGGGGAUGCAAGCAAGGAGUGAAAGCGCGGGGCCCAACCCCGGGACUGCGCUUGUAACUGCGUGACUGGAGUGCAGGAGGGGCAGGCGGAAGUCCUGGUGUAGCGGUGAAAUGCGUAGAGAUCACGAGGAACACCGGUGGCGAAGGCGGCCUGCUGGACUGCAACUGACGUUGAGGCCCGAAAGCGUGGGGAGCAAACAGGAUUAGAUACCCUAGUAGUC
rnacentral:rRNA from 1 species